AUGUUUAUAAAACAUUGUGUUUGUGUUUCAGGAGAUGUUUACAGAUUAAGAUCUUACUCUGAACAAGCUGAGCCUUCUCCACGCAGCUACAAUCCCCCUCUCCUCAGAUAUGAUGACUUGGUACAGCAAAGAGCUUUUGCUGCUGGUUCAAAGUUCCCUGAAGGUUUUAAACCUUUUGAACCAACUAAAGGUGGGCAAGUAGAUGGUUACAGUCAAAGAGGAAGUGUUCCUAGUUACAGGCCUGCCUCACAUGCUGUCAAAGGGUCUCCGAGUGGCUUCUAUCCAAGAGAACCUGUGUGGCACCCAGAAUUGCCCAAAGGUGGAAGAACGGGGUCAAACAUUGUUUCUAGUGGUGCAAUUCUGAUGCAUGCUCCAGAAAAAUCCCCUCAGCAGCAGCAGCUGGGCUCUCCGAACUCUGGUGUGUUCCAGAGCAAAACAGAGAAAUGGGAGGGUACAUCCUUGGAAAUGCCAUCUAAAGGGAUGCAUUCUGCUGCCCAGCCACCUCAGAGGCAUCCAGUACCAGGUCCUCGUGUUCAGGGCAAAGAAGGUAUGUGGGACCGUGUCUUUGCCUCCAGUGGACAGUCCCCAGGGAUGUAUCCUGCAUACAAACCACUUCAGAUGCCAAUUGCUCCACAACCACCAAGUCCAAAAAAGAAGGCGGAAUGGAAAACUGUCCCAUCCUCGAACUCCCAGUCUCCUGGGAUGUAUUCCAUGACCUCACCACCCUACAACAACCCAGCUGUAUCACCUCUGCUACAAAGCAAUCCUGGCAUGUGGGAUAGGCGUUAUGCUCCUAAUACAAGGUCCCAAGAGAAGCAAUAUGGUGGACGGCUGCCCUUGACACACCCAGCCUUCUCAACCCCUGCCGUACUACAAUCUAAAGAAGGUAUGUGGGGCAGUGUAUUUGCUGAAACUGGAAAGUCCCUUGAACCCGUAAAACACGACGGUCCCAGAAGCUCUAGGCCUGCAGCUGUUAAGAACUAUCCCAGGGGGCAGCAGCUAAGGGGCGUAGUGGAACAACUCCCUCCAGCCGCAAAAUCGUUCCAGGGCAGAGCUGGUGUGUUGGAUGAUGUUGGCUCAAGUGCAGCAGCAAAACAGACCCUGAGGCUUUCUAGACCAGUACUAGGAUCCCAUUUCGGGUAUGAAGGCAGUCAACCACAACCAGCAUCUGCUCAGAGAAAUCGUCAAGCAUAG
rnacentral:lncRNA from 1 species